GAGCUUAUUGAAGAGUGAUUGCUAAUUAGAUAGUCUUUUCUUUUUUCUUUGUUUUUUUUUUCUUCUUUUUUUUUCUCUUUUUUUUUUUCUCUUUUUUAGGGAGUGUUAGUUUUUUUUUUCUUUCACUCCAUUAUUUUAGUGGAAUCAUCAUUAUUAGAGAAACGAACGUAGCCCACAGGUUGAGCGCGUUUUUAUCAUCGUUCUUGCCACUUGAAAAGAAGUUUCGAUUGGUCUACUCAUUUCUGUAAAGGAUAUGAUGGGAGGUAUGGGAAAUGAAAACGAUUUUAAAGACGAACAAGAAACGAGAGAAGAUCAUAAUGGAGAAGAUGUUGUAGAAUCGAGUUCAUCAUUUCUAUCUGAUUUGAAUCUUCUAUUUGUGCUUCUAUCAUUGAUUUCUCCAAAUACAAAUGAAGAUUCGAAUGAUGGUAAUGGAGUAUCAACGAGGAUGAAAGAAAUUGAAGGUAGUACAACAUAUAAUAUUGCAAAAUCGAGCAUAAGGAAAAAAGAUGUGAUUGAAGCCCAACAUGAAAGUCGUCGAAAAGUACCUCAAAGGUUUCAUACAACAAUAAAAGAUCACAGGCAUGGAAGAAAAAUGUGAACCAAUCAACGAAGAAAGAUGAAUGGAUAUUAAAAAAAAAACUAAUAUAGGUAACCACUUUUGUAAAAGUUUUGACACAAUCAACACAUGAACAAGAUACCCAAGUGAAGGUUAAUUUGAUCGUCAAGCAAAAAGUUGAUAUGAUAAUCUUUUUUUUUUAUUUAUAUAUAUCAAGUGAAAUGUGAGAUUUUGCACUUUCAACUUUGAAAUGUAUAGUAAAUACUCAUUAACGUUAAUGUGGCUGAUGCAAGUAAAUUUCAACAUUCUAUA